UUAGUUGGGCACUUUAAAGAGACUGCCGGUGUUAAGCCGGAGGAAGUGGGGAUGACGUCAAGUCCUCAUGGCCUUUAUGCCCAGGGCUACACACGUGCUACAAUGGGCGGUACAAAGAGAAGCAACCUCGCGAGGGUGAGCAAAUCUCAAAAAGCCGUUCUCAGUUCGGAUUGAAGUCUGCAACUCGACUUCAUGAAGUCGGAAUCGCUAGUAAUCGCGGAUCAGCAUGCCGCGGUGAAUACGUUCCCGGGCCUU
rnacentral:rRNA from 1 species